rnacentral:rRNA from 1 species
ACUCCUACGGGAGGCAGCAGUAAGGAAUAUUGGUCAAUGGGCGCAAGUCUGAACCAGCCAUGCCGCGUGAAGGAUUAAGGUCCUCUGGAUUGUAAACUUCUUUUAUAUGGGACGAAAAAAGGUCUUUCUAGACCCCUUGACGGUACCAUAUGAAUAAGCACCGGCUAACUCCGUGCCAGCAGCCGCGGUAAUAC